AGUUCUCGUUGAUGAUCGGUGCUUGCACCGAGAUUCAACAUGGAACGAGUGGCGGACGGGUGAGUAACACGUGGGUAACCUGCCCUUAAGUGGGGGAUAACAUUUGGAAACAGAUGCUAAUACCGCAUAGAUCCAAGAACCGCAKGGUUCUUGGCUGAAAGAUGGCGUAAGCUAUCGCUUUUGGAUGGACCCGCGGCGUAUUAGCUAGUUGGUGAGGUAAUGGCUCACCAAGGCGAUGAUACGUAGCCGAACUGAGAGGUUGAUCGGCCACAUUGGGACUGAGACACGGCCCAAACUCCUACGGGAGGCAGCAGUAGGGAAUCUUCCACAAUGGACGCAAGUCUGAUGGAGCAACGCCGCGUGAGUGAAGAAGGCUUUCGGGUCGUAAAACUCUGUUGUUGGAGAAGAAUGGUCGGCAGAGUAACUGUUGUCGGCGUGACGGUAUCCAACCAGAAAGCCACGGCUAACUACGUGCCAGCAGCCGCGGUAAUACGUAGGUGGCAAGCGUUAUCCGGAUUUAUUGGGCGUAAAGCGAGCGCAGGCGGUUUUUUAAGUCUGAUGUGAAAGCCCUCGGCUUAACCGAGGAAGCGCAUCGGAAACUGGGAAACUUGAGUGCAGAAGAGGACAGUGGAACUCCAUGUGUAGCGGUGAAAUGCGUAGAUAUAUGGAAGAACACCAGUGGCGAAGGCGGCUGUCUGGUCUGUAACUGACGCUGAGGCUCGAAAGCAUGGGUAGCGAACAGGAUUAGAUACCCUGGUAGUCCAUGCCGUAAACGAUGAAUGCUAGGUGUUGGAGGGUUUCCGCCCUUCAGUGCCGCAGCUAACGCAUUAAGCAUUCCGCCUGGGGAGUACGACCGCAAGGUUGAAACUCAAAGGAAUUGACGGGGGCCCGCACAAGCGGUGGAGCAUGUGGUUUAAUUCGAAGCAACGCGAAGAACCUUACCAGGUCUUGACAUCUUUUGAUCACCUGAGAGAUCAGGUUUCCCCUUCGGGGGCAAAAUGACAGGUGGUGCAUGGUUGUCGUCAGCUCGUGUCGUGAGAUGUUGGGUUAAGUCCCGCAACGAGCGCAAC
rnacentral:rRNA from 1 species